GGGUUGUGAGGUUAAGCGACUAAGCGUACACGGUGGAUGCCCUGGCAGUCAGAGGCGAUGAAGGGCGUGCUAAUC
rnacentral:rRNA from 4 species